CCAAUCAAACUCGGAGAUAGCUGGUUCUCCGCGAAAUCUAUUUAGGUAGAGCGUCAUCCGAAUACCCCGGGGGGUAGAGCACUGGAUGGGUAAUGGGGCCCCACAGGCUUACUGAUCCUAACCAAACUCCGAAUACCCGGGAGUAAUAGAUGGCAGACACACUGCGGGUGCUAACGCCCGUAGUGAAAAGGGAAACAACCCUGACCGACAGUUAAGGCCCCUAAUUCAUGGCUAAGUGGAAAAGCAGGUGAGACGACCAUAACAACCAGGAAGUUGGCUUAGAAGCAGCCAUCUUUUAAAGAUAGCGUAACAGCUCACUGGUCUAAUUAAGUUGUCUUGCGGCGAAAAUGUAACGGGGCUCAAGCCAUGAGCCGAAACUUCGGAUGCAUUUAUGCAUGGUAGCGGAGCGUAGUGUGACAUAGUUCCAUGCGUCUUUAACUUCCUUCGGGGAGUAUUGGACGCAAGGAGCUUUCUGUGAAGCCGGCCUGUGAGGGAUCCGGUGGAGAGAUCACUAGUGAGAAUGAUGACAUGAGUAACGACAAAGGGGGUGAGAGACCCCCUCGCCGAAAAUCCAAGGGUUCCUGCUUAAAGCUAAUCUGAGCAGGGUGAGCCGGCCCCUAAGCCGAGGGCGAAAGCCGUAGGCGAUGGGAACCAGGUUAAUAUUCCUGGGCCAGGAGGAAGUGACGGAUCAUGAAGAUUGUUGGAUCAGGCGUAGUUGCCCCAGCAGUUAAUUGGUUCCUGGAAAUAGCCCUCCAUCAGACCGUACCCUAAACCGACACAGGUGGAUAGGUAGAGUAUACCAAGGCGCUUGAGAGAACUAUGUUGAAGGAACUCGGCAAAAUACCUCCGUAAGUUCGCGAGAAGGAGGCCCGGUUUCUAGGCAACUGGAAGCUGGGGGCACAAACCAGGGGGUGGCGACUGUUUACUAAAAACACAGGGCUCUGCGAAGUCGUAAGACGACGUAUAGGGUCUGACGCCUGCCCGGUGCCUGAAGGUUAAAAGGAGGGGUGAGAGCUCCGAAUUGAAGCCCAGGUAAACGGCGGCCGUAACUAUAACGGUCCUAAGGUAGCGAAAUUCCUUGUCGGG
rnacentral:rRNA from 1 species